UUUUGAUUCACUUCUGUUCACUAAUUUACUGGAGUAUUUCCUGCAAUUGUUUUCUUUAACUAAAUUAUGCUUACUUUGCAUCUUGGCAAUGUUUGUAAUCAAAUUUAAAGUGGGUAGCUUAUCUUCUAAGGUGCCUACUUAAAAUUUUUAAACAAAUAUUUGUUUGGAUGCCCGGUGAUUAAGUCAUUAAGAUUUUAGGAGUAAUUUUCAGAUAUUUAGUGUUUAGAAAUUUAUUUUAGUGUUUAUAAUUUUCCGGUGAAUUCCUUUUUCCAGCAAACACCAUCCCCCAGA